UGCACAUAUGUCCCACAGCAGGGGAGGAAUGCUUCAGUGCUCCACAAACACCUUGCUUUUGUCUUGCACGGCUCCUGCGCCGAGCUGCAUCAUGCCUUGUAAAAGUGACACUGCUGGAAUUGUGCUGUGCAAGUACGAGGCAAAACAAAACCGCAACCCCAAGCUCUACCCGUACACGUCUGACAGCAGGUUAUUAAACCCAGAGCAGUCAUCAGAGAAGAGAGAGAGAGCAUGUGGAUGAGGGAAAAAAAAAAAAAAAAAAAAAAGCAGUUUGAUUUCUCUCAGUUUUGCUCUCAAUCUUUGACCUGGAGGGAGCACAACCAGUGGAUGAAAUGGAGAAACUGAUAAUCAUCACACCGCAAAUAGAGCUUAGAAUAAAAGUAAAUUUCUCAUUUCAGUUCUGCUUAAGCAGGAUCAUAUUCACUCGUGGGUGUUAGUCCAGGCAUUAGUGAGAAGCCAUUGAAAAUCCUAUAUAACUGUUUGUUGAACGUCUCUUCUAUUUAUUUAGCAUUAAUUUUAUUUAUGCUAUUUAAUGCUUUCCAGCUUGCGCAUACCUCUGAGUGUCACCAUGAACGUAUGUACAUAAGAAGCACAUGCUGUCAGCUUCCAGCCAAAGUUCUACUUGUUCAGGCAUAAAUUACGAAACCAAAACUAAUGUGAUUACAAAUCCACCUUUUUUUUUUUUUUCCUAAUUACUUGAAGUCAGUAAGACUUGCAGGCACAAGUCAAGAUUUUAAAGUGUGCAUGUAAUGUGCUUUAAAUGCUGUCUAAAGCUACGUGACAGCUUUGCCUCAGAGUCUGUUAUCUGGGAGAUCAAGUCCUAUCCAGCCUUGAAAUCUAUGAAUUCCUUUACUACAGUGGUUCAAAAACAUACAGGUCUUCGGAUCAGAUUAUUGCUUUUGCUUCUUCCUCAAUAUCUACACUGUUUUAUUAAUUUAAAAUAACACAUGGAAGCUUUCCUUGUAGAAACCUAAUUUUUUUAACGUAGACAGUUAUUUAAAGCCCAACUCAUUUCCUGAAAAUUAGACAAUAACCCUUAUAGAGAUGGAUAACUGAAGGCAGAAGAUUGUUUGAAUGGCCAAAGGAUUGUAUUCAUUCAUGGCUGUUAGUCCAAACAUCAGUGAGAUGUCAGUAUGAACUCUACAUAACUCUUUGCAGAAUCUCUCUUCUAUUUAUUUAACAUUAAUUUUAUUAUGUUUUUUUAUGCUUUCCAGUCUCAUGCAUGUAUCCAGUUGUCAUCACAAAGCACGUACAGCCUCCAGCAAAUUAUUAAAUUUGGGGUAUGAUCUCAGGUACCUGUUGGAGAACUCUGUCUUGAUCUUAAAACUGUCUUUCCUUUCCUUGCAACCCAGAAAAGCCCAGCUCCAACAGUAAAGUGCAGGCUGCAUAUCAUUGUAAUCCCAAGCAGUGAUUUCAG
rnacentral:lncRNA from 1 species